rnacentral:rRNA from 1 species
GACGAACGCUGGCGGCGUGCUUAACACAUGCAAGUCGAACGGUAAGGCCCUUCGGGGUACAUGAGUGGCGAACGGGUGAGUAACACGUGGGUGAUCUGCCCUGCACUUCGGGAUAAGCCUGGGAAACUGGGUCUAAUACCGGAUAGGACCAUUGCCUGCAUGGGUGGUGGUGGACAGCUUUUGCGGUGUGGGAUGGGCCCGAGGCCUAUCAGCUUGUUGGUGGGGUGAUGGCCUACCAAGGCGACGAGGGGUAGCCGGCCUGGGAGGGUGACCGGCCACACUGGGACUGAGAUACGGCCCAGACUCCUACGGGAGGCAGCAGUGGGGAAUAUUGCACAAUGGGCGCAAGCCUGAUGCAGCGACGCCGCGUGAGGGAUGACGGCCUUCGGGUUGUAAACCUCUUUCAGCACCGACGAAGCGCAAGUGACGGUAGGUGCAGAAGAAGGACCGGCCAACUACGUGCCAGCAGCCGCCGUAACAC